rnacentral:rRNA from 1 species
UGCAGUCGAGCGGUAGCACAGAGAGCUUGCUCUCGGGUGACGAGCGGCGGACGGGUGAGUAAUGUCUGGGAAACUGCCUGAUGGAGGGGGAUAACUACUGGAAACGGUAGCUAAUACCGCAUAACGUCGCAAGACCAAAGUGGGGGACCUUCGGGCCUCAUGCCAUCAGAUGUGCCCAGAUGGGAUUAGCUAGUAGGUGGGGUAACGGCUCACCUAGGCGACGAUCCCUAGCUGGUCUGAGAGGAUGACCAGCCACACUGGAACUGAGACACGGUCCAGACUCCUACGGGAGGCAGCAGUGGGGAAUAUUGCACAAUGGGCGCAAGCCUGAUGCAGCCAUGCCGCGUGUAUGAAGAAGGCCUUCGGGUUGUAAAGUACUUUCAGCGGGGAGGAAGGCGAUAAGGUUAAUAACCUUGUCGAUUGACGUUACCCGCAGAAGAAGCACCGGCUAACUCCGUGCCAGCAGCCGCGGUAAUACGGAGGGUGCAAGCGUUAAUCGGAAUUACUGGGCGUAAAGCGCACGCAGGCGGUCUGUCAAGUCGGAUGUGAAAUCCCCGGGCUCAACCUGGGAACUGCAUUCGAAACUGGCAGGCUAGAGUCUUGUAGAGGGGGGUAGAAUUCCAGGUGUAGCGGUGAAAUGCGUAGAGAUCUGGAGGAAUACCGGUGGCGAAGGCGGCCCCCUGGACAAAGACUGACGCUCAGGUGCGAAAGCGUGGGGAGCAAACAGGAUUAGAUACCCUGGUAGUCCACGCCGUAAACGAUGUCGAUUUGGAGGUUGUGCCCUUGAGGCGUGGCUUCCGGAGCUAACGCGUUAAAUCGACCGCCUGGGGAGUACGGCCGCAAGGUUAAAACUCAAAUGAAUUGACGGGGGCCCGCACAAGCGGUGGAGCAUGUGGUUUAAUUCGAUGCAACGCGAAGAACCUUACCUGGUCUUGACAUCCACAGAACUUAGCAGAGAUGCUUUGGUGCCUUCGGGAACUGUGAGACAGGUGCUGCAUGGCUGUCGUCAGCUCGUGUUGUGAAAUGUUGGGUUAAGUCCCGCAACGAGCGCAACCCUUAUCCUUUGUUGCCAGCGGUCCGGCCGGGAACUCAAAGGAGACUGCCAGUGAUAAACUGGAGGAAGGUGGGGAUGACGUCAAGUCAUCAUGGCCCUUACGACCAGGGCUACACACGUGCUACAAUGGCAUAUACAAAGAGAAGCGACCUCGCGAGAGCAAGCGGACCUCAUAAAGUAUGUCGUAGUCCGGAUUGGAGUCUGCAACUCGACUCCAUGAAGUCGGAAUCGCUAGUAAUCGUAGAUCAGAAUGCUACGGUGAAUACGUUCCCGGGCCUUGUACACACCGCCCGUCACACCAUGGGAGUGGGUUGCAAAAGAAGUAGGUAGCUUAACCUUCGGGAGGG